rnacentral:rRNA from 1 species
CCUACGGGUGGCAGCAGUGGGGAAUAUUGGACAAUGGGCGAAAGCCUGAUCCAGCCAUGCCGCGUGUGUGAAGAAGGCCUUCGGGUUGUAAAGCACUUUAAGCGGGGAGGAAGGCCUUGAGACUAAUACUCUUGAGGAUUGACGUUACCCGCAGAAUAAGCACCGGCUAACUCUGUGCCAGCAGCCGCGGUAAUACAGAGGGUGCAAGCGUUGAGCGGAAUUACUGGGGGUGGUUCGUUCGGAGGGGUGUGAAAUCCCCGGGCUCAACCUGGGAACGGCAUCCGAUACUGGCUGACUAGAGUGUGGGAGAGGAAGGUAGAAUUCCAGGUGUAGCGGUGAAAUGCGUAGAGAUCUGGAGGAAUACCGAUGGCGAAGGCAGCCUUCUGGCCUAACACUGACGCUGAGGUGCGAAAGCAUGGGGAGCAAACAGGAUUAGAUACCCUUGUAGUC